AAGGAUCAUUCAUAAUAAGUGUUUUAUGGCACUUUGGAGCAUGUGCACGCCUGUUUGGAUUUCAUUUUCAUCCACCUGUGCACCUAUUGUAGUCUUUGGUUUGGGUAUUGAGGAAAUGGUCAGCCUAUCAGCAUUUGCUGGAUGUGAGGAGUUUGCAGUGUGAAAGCAUUGCUGUCCUUUACUUGGCCAUGGAGUCUUUUUCCUGCCAGAGUCUAUGUCACUCAUUAUACCCUGUCGAAUGUUAUCGAAUGUCUUUACAUGGGCUUUCAUGCCUAUGAAAAUUAUAAUACAACUUUCAGCAACGGAUCUCUUGGCUCUC
rnacentral:misc_RNA from 1 species